rnacentral:rRNA from 1 species
UACGUAGGGGGCAAGCGUUGUUCGGAAUUACUGGGCGUAAAGGGCUCGUAGGUGGCCAACUAAGUCAGACGUGAAAUCCCUCGGCUUAACCGGGGAACUGCGUCUGAUACUGGAUGGCUUGAGGUUGGGAGAGGGAUGCGGAAUUCCAGGUGUAGCGGUGAAAUGCGUAGAUAUCUGGAGGAACACCGGUGGCGAAGGCGGCAUCCUGGACCAAUUCUGACGCUGAGGAGCGAAAGCCAGGGGAGCAAACGGG